ensembl:snRNA U6 U6 spliceosomal RNA
GUACUUGCUUCAGCAAUAACACAUAUACUAAAAUUUGAAUGAUAUAGAGAAGAUUAGCAUGACUCUUGUGUAAGGAUGACACAAAUAUUCAUGAAACAUUGUACAUUUCU